AAACUGGGAUUAGAUACCCCACUAUGCCUGACUGUAAAUUACCAGCCAAAAAAGUAUGAGCCCCGCUUAAAACUUAAAGGACCUGGCGGUACUCUAUAUCAACCUAGAGGGGCCUGUCCUAUAACCGAUAAUCCACGAAAAACCUUACCACUCCUUGCCCCCAGCCUAUAUACCGCCGUCUUCAGCACAUUUCCCAAAAAAUGAAGCUAAAUAGUCCCACACACUAGCACGUCAGGUCAAGGUGUAGCUAAUGGAGCGGAAGAGGCGGACCACAAUGCCACAACACACGGAAACCCCAUUGAAACAUGAGGAAAAAGAUGAAUUUAGCAGUAAGUGGGGCCGAACGCCCCACUGAACCACCCGCCCUAGAGUACGCACACACCGCCCGUCACCCU
rnacentral:rRNA from 1 species